AACGAACGCUGGCGGCAUGCCUAACACAUGCAAGUCGAACGAGAGCUUUGGGUCUAGUGGCACACGGGUGCGUAACGCGUGGGAAUCUGCCCUUGGGUUCGGAAUGACAGCUGGAAAGGACUGCUAAUACCGGAUGAUGACGAAAGUCCAAAGAUUUAUCGCAAGAGGAUGAGCCCGCGUAGGAUUAGCUAGUUGGUGUGGUAAAGGCGCACCAAGGCGACGAUCCGUAGCUGGUCUGAGAGGAUGUUCAGCCACACUGGGACUGAGACACGGCCCAGACUCCUACGGGAGGCAGCAGUGGGAAAUAUUGGACAAUGGGCGAAAGCCCGAUCCAGCAAUGCCGCGUGAGUGAUGAAGGCCUUAGGGUUGUAAAGCUCUUUUACCCGGGAUGAUAAUGACAGUACCGGGAGAAUAAGCUCCGGCUAACUCCGUGCCAGCCGCCGCCGUAA
rnacentral:rRNA from 1 species